rnacentral:rRNA from 1 species
GAUGAACGCUAGCUACAGGCUUAACACAUGCAAGUCGAGGGGCAGCAUGAUUGAAGCUUGCUUCAAUCGAUGGCGACCGGCGCACGGGUGAGUAACACGUAUCCAACCUGCCGAUAACUCGGGGAUAGCCUUUCGAAAGAAAGAUUAAUACCCGAUAGUAUAGUAUUUCCGCAUGGUUUCACUAUUAAAGAACUUCGGUUAUCGAUGGGGAUGCGUUCCAUUAGAUAGUUGGCGGGGUAACGGCCCACCAAGUCAACGAUGGAUAGGGGUUCUGAGAGGAAGGUCCCCCACAUUGGAUCUGAGACACGGUCCAAACUCCUACGGGAGGCAGCAGUGAGGAAUAUUGGUCAAUGGACGAGAGUCUGAACCAGCCAAGUAGCGUGAAGGAUGACUGCCCUAUGGGUUGUAAACUUCUUUUAGACGGGAAUAAAGUGGAGUAUGCAUACUCCUUUGUAUGUACCGUAUGAAUAAGGAUCGGCUAACUCCGUG